rnacentral:rRNA from 1 species
GGUUAGAGUUUGAUCCUGGCUCAGGACGAACGCUGGCGGCGUGCUUAACACAUGCAAGUCGAACGAUGAAGCCCAGCUUGCUGGGUGGAUUAGUGGCGAACGGGUGAGUAAUACGUGAGUAACCUGCCUUUAACUCUGGGAUAAGCCUUGGAAACGGGGUCUAAUACUGGAUACGACCAACCCUCGCAUGGGGUGUUGGUGGAAAGGGAUUUUGUACUGGUUUUAGAUGGGCUCACGGCCUAUCAGCUCGUUGGUGAGGUAACGGCUCACCAAGGCGACGACGGGUAGCCGGCCUGAGAGGGUGACCGGCCACACUGGGACUGAGACACGGCCCAGACUCCUACGGGAGGCAGCAGUGGGGAAUAUUGCACAAUGGGCGCAAGCCUGAUGCAGCGACGCCGCGUGAGGGAUGACGGCCUUCGGGUUGUAACCUCUUUCAGCAGGGGAGAAGCGAAAGUGACGGUACCUGCAGAAGAAGCGCCGGCUAACUACGUGCCAGCAGCCGCGGUAAUACGUAGGGCGCGAGCGUUGUCCGGAAUUAUUGGGCGUAAAGAGCUUGUAGGCGGUUUGUCGCGUCUGCUGUGAAAGCCCGGGGCUUAACCCCGGGUUUGCAGUGGGUACGGGCAGACUAGAGUGCAGUAGGGGAGACUGGAAUUCCUGGUGUAGCGGUGAAAUGCGCAGAUAUCAGGAGGAACACCAAUGGCGAAGGCAGGUCUCUGGGCUGUAACUGACGCUGAGAAGCGAAAGCAUGGGGAGCAAACAGGAUUAGAUACCCUGGUAGUCCAUGCCGUAAACGUUGGGCACUAGGUGUGGGGAACAUUCCACGUUUUCCGCGCCGUAGCUAACGCAUUAAGUGCCCCGCCUGGGGAGUACGGCCGCAAGGCUAAAACUCAAAGAAAUUGACGGGGGCCCGCACAAGCGGCGGAGCAUGCGGAUUAAUUCGAUGCAACGCGAAGAACCUUACCAAGGCUUGACAUAUACUAGACCGCCUCAGAGAUGGGGUUUCCCUUCGGGGCUGGUAUACAGGUGGUGCAUGGUUGUCGUCAGCUCGUGUCGUGAGAUGUUGGGUUAAGUCCCGCAACGAGCGCAACCCUCGUUCUAUGUUGCCAGCACGUAAUGGUGGGGACUCAUAGGAGACUGCCGGGGUUAACUCGGAGGAAGGUGGGGAUGACGUCAAAUCAUCAUGCCCCUUAUGUCUUGGGCUUCACGCAUGCUACAAUGGCCGGUACAAAGGGUUGCGAUACUGUGAGGUUGAGCUAAUCCCAAAAAGCCGGUCUCAGUUCGGAUUGGGGUCUGCAACUCGACCCCAUGAAGUCGGAGUCGCUAGUAAUCGCAGAUCAGCAACGCUGCGGUGAAUACGUUCCCGGGCCUUGUACACACCGCCCGUCAAGUCACGAAAGUUGGUAACACCCGAAGCCGAUGGCCUAACCCCUUGUGGGAGGGAGUCGUCGAAGGUGGGACUGGCGAUUGGGACUAAGUCGUAACAAGGUAACC